AACGAACGCUGGCGGCGUGCCUAACACAUGCAAGUCGUGCGAGAAAGUUCCUUCGGGAGCGAGUAAAGCGGCGCACGGGUGAGUAACACGUAGGUAACCUGCCCCCCAGUCUGGAACAACUAGAGGAAACUCUAGCUAAUGCCGGAUGAGACCACGAUCCCUUCGGGGGUUGCGGCCAAAGAUGGCCUCUACUUGUAAGCUAUCGCUGAGGGAUGGGCCUGCGGGCCAUUAGCUUGUUGGUGAGGUAACGGCUCACCAAGGCUGUGAUGGCUAGCUGGUCUGAGAGGAUGACCAGCCACACUGGGACUGAGACACGGCCCAGACUCCUACGGGAGGCAGCAGUGGGAAUAUUGCGCAAUGGGCGAAGCCUGACGCAGCGACGCCGCGUGGGU
rnacentral:rRNA from 1 species